CUUCCGCACUGUGGCUCAUGUAGAAAACUGAAAAUGGCUCAACUGUAGUAGCAUGCAUGUCUAACAUCUUUUGUCCUUUCAUAAAGCAACGAAAGUUCAGAACAUACCAUCUUAAACCGGUGAGCGACUUGGUUUACAUUAUCUCCUAGAUGACCUGAGCUACAAAUUUAUUGUUUCCAUAAAUUAGGUAAAUAAUGUUUGUACAAUGAAUUUUAAAUGUAAAAGCAGCCUAGUAGAAAUUAAGGCAUAAUAUCAUGACGUGUGAAAAAGCUCAAUAAACUACAUCAACACAAGCAAAAUGACAGACAAAAUACAUGAUAAUAUUUUUUCGCCCAUGGAUAUGUACUUCCAAAUAGCUUUAUAUUAACAUCAUAUGCACGUGCUGAAGGAAAAUUUUAAUUAGAUCAACCAAGGCAAAAAUAUAUUGUGUAAGAUCUCAUCUCUUGUAAAAAGAAACUGGCGCAAAUAGAAAGCAGAAAUCUAAGACCAUUUAGGAAAAGAGUUAACCAGUUAAUCGGUAAAAGACAACAAUGUAAGAUGCCAUCAGUUAUAAAAAAACUGAUCAAGGAGCACAUAAAUCACUUCCCGCAGGGCGCCAUCCCCUGCCUCCAUCCUGAGCACCUCCAUCCCGUGAGCACUCAAGCCCUGGAUCCAUAGUCUCGAGCUCGCCCGAGCUCCGCCAUCUCUGCCUCGAGCUCUGAAAUCACCGCUACUAAUCAGACUCUUACUUGGAUACUUAACAAAAAAGAGUCAGAAAGGAAAUUUAUUUACCGAAACAACAUAAUGAAAUAUGAUAUAUAUCGUUCUUUAGAAUGAGAAGCUACAAAAUAGAAGAGGCAUAAGUUUAUAUGGAAGUAUUCAUAUAUCCUAGGCCGGGUUUUUACAGAGCAAUCACGGACAUGCCUUUAUACGUCUAUACAAAAUGAUCUGCGCAAGAAGGCUGCACAUAUGGAAGUAUUCAUAUAUCCUAGGCCGGGUUUUUACAGAGCAAUCACGGGCAUGCCGUUAUACAUCUAUACAAAAUGAUCUGCGCGAGAAGGCUGCUGUAAAAGUAGCAAGGAUUAAAGUAAAAAAUGCAUCACAACAAUUCAUUACUAAACAACGGAAUGAAAUACGAUAGCUAUCAAUCCUGGUAACAGGAAGCUACCAAAUAUAAGACGACCACAUUUAUAUUAUUAUUUUGCGGGUAGAGGAUAACAUUUAUAUGGAAACAUUCAAAUAUCCUAGGUCUGUAUUUUGACCAUGUAAUCACGGAUAUGUCGUUAUACCCCCACCUUCUCCUUUUACUCCGCAUACAAGUUUGGUCAAACUGAAAAUGGAAAUGCAUUAUGUUUGAACACUGAAACCCCUCCUUGCAAAAGAAUCAAUUAGAGCACCGGUCCUCAUUCAAUCUGAUCUCUGACUGUGAGCUAUUUUUGUUCUCUAUAAUUUAGCUUGGGGUUUCCACUUGUGUAGAACUGUAACAAAUAAAGCAGGGCAUGUAGCAUGGGUGCAGCUCCUGUGCUGGGCACUAUUGACAUGCUUUGCACACGUAUAAUAGGCAUGGGCAAAGGUGAGAGGGUCAUGGUGUACUGCACGGCCUGGAUGUGCACUGUGUGUAUGCGUGAGGCUGUAAAGGAUAAUAACAAUGUGUAGCUUCUCGCUUCAGUCAUAAACAGAAAAAUACAAAAAUGAACUCAACACAAAGCUAGUGCUGGGGGAAAACCAUCGAGUACCUUGUAUACAUCCUUUCUCUGGUUGAUUCUUGCUAUCGAUUCCUCUACGACGAGCCAAGAUCUGAGUCUCAUGUGUGUCCACAGGGGGAAAACAGAGGCGAGCGAGACUCCAGGCCUGUCACUCUCCUUCAUUAUCAGCUAAUUUGAAUGGUUGUUGCCAGUAAGUGAAAUGGGAAUUGUACAUCAAGAUUCACGGAGCAGAAACGAAUUACCAGAGGGAGAUGGGUAGUCUGCAAAUGGUACAAAGGAUCUCUUUUGAGCUGAUCUGCUCCA
rnacentral:lncRNA from 1 species